rnacentral:rRNA from 1 species
AUUGAACGCUGGCGGCAGGCCUAACAAAUGCAAGUCGAGCGAGCGGCGGACGGGUGAGUAAUAUCUGGGAAACUGACUGAUGGAGGGGGAUAAAUACUGGCAACGGUAGCGAAUACCGCAUACCAUCAGAUGUGCCCAGAUGGGAUUAGCUGGUAGGUGGGGUAAAGGCUCACCUAGGCGACGAUCCCUAGCUGGUCUGAGAGGAUGCCCAGCCACACUGGAACUGAGACACGGUCCAGACUCCUACGGGAGGCAGCAGUGGGGAAUAUUGCACAAUGGGCGCAAGCCUGAUUCAGCCAUGCCGCGUGUGUGAAGAAGGCCUUCGGGUUGUAAAGCACUUUCAGCGGGGAGGCGUUACCCGCAGAAGAAGCACCGGCUAACUCCGGGCCAGCAGCCGCGGUAAUUC